rnacentral:rRNA from 1 species
AUUGAACGCUGGCGGCAUGCCUUACACAUGCAAGUCGAACGGUAACGGGCCUUCGGGUGCCGACGAGUGGCGAACGGGUGAGUAAUACAUCGGAACGUGCCCGAUCGUGGGGGAUAACGAGGCGAAAGCUUUGCUAAUACCGCAUACGAUCUACGGAUGACAGCAGGGGACCGCAAGGCCUUGCGCGGACGGAGCGGCCGAUGGCAGAUUAGGUAGUUGGUGGGAUAAAAGCUUACCAAGCCGACGAUCUGUAGCUGGUCUGAGAGGAUGAUCAGCCACACUGGGACUGAGACACGGCCCAGACUCCUACGGGAGGCAGCAGUGGGGAAUUUUGGACAAUGGGCACAAGCCUGAUCCAGCCAUGCCGCGUGCAGGAUGAAGGCCUUCGGGUUGUAAACUGCUUUUGUACGGAACGAAAAGCCUUCUUUUAAUACGGGAGGGUCAUGACGGUACCGUAAGAAUAAGCACCGGCUAACUACGUG